GUUAGAGUUCAGUGGCUAAUUUGAUUUGAAUACAAGCUAUUGUAGUUGUUUACAUUCAAAUCGGAGUUAUCACGGUUAUAAUGUCAUAGGAGCCACGUCUGCCGGCAAAUAUGAGACGAUACCGCAACCGUCCCUGGGGAUUUAUUGAUGGAAUAAUGUGUUUUGGGCUAAAUAUUUUUACUGGAUUAGAUCGUCUGGACCUUUGACAACAUAACAAGACCAUUUUUGUUGGAAUAUAAUGGAUCGAUGAGGCUUCAUAGGGGGGGGGGGGGAUUCUCAUCGCCCCUGGCCUGGCUGAGAUAUAGGACCUGAUGGCCAGCUGUAUUGCUGACUGGCUAGCUGGCUAAAUGCCCAGUGGAGGAUUCAGCCCAUCAAUACCAUUUCCUAGCAAACCCAGCUCAGGUUUCACUCUUGAAAUGAGCUCCAUAUCCCAAUGAAGUGCCUGUUCAGACCCACUAUACCUAUAUGUAAUGACUUAUCUAAUGACUAAACAUCCACAUAAUAAAACAGGUACUGUGAGUGAAA